GCAAACUUGGUCAUUUAGAGGAAGUAAAAGUCGUAACAAGGUUUCCGUAGGUGAACCUGCGGAAGGAUCAUUAAUGAAUAACAUGGUUAGGUUGUUGCUGGCCUCUCGGGGCAUGUGCACGCCGACCACUUGUUGUCAAACCCCUGUGCACUUUAUGUAGGCUGGAGAAGGGUUUAUUUCUUGAGGUUAACUCGAGUCUUAAAAGAACUGCUGUUGUUCGGCUAUGUUUCUCUUGUCCCUCCAGACUAUGAUUUUAAUAUACUCCGUUUGUAUGUAACAGAAUGGUAUUGAAAGGCCUUGGUGCCUCUAAAUUAAUACAACUUUCAACAACGGAUCUCUUGGCUCUCGCAUCGAUGAAGAACGCAGC
rnacentral:misc_RNA from 1 species